rnacentral:rRNA from 1 species
UACGUAGGGUGCGAGCGUUAAUCGGAAUUACUGGGCGUAAAGCGUGCGCAGGCGGCGCGUUUAAGACAGGUGUGAAAGCCCCCGAGCUUAACUUGGGGAAUUGCGCUUGUGACUGGCGUGCUGGAGUGUGGCAGAGGGAGGUGGAAUUCCACGUGUAGCAGUGAAAUGCGUAGAGAUGUGGAGGAACACCGAUGGCGAAGGCAGCCUCCUGGGCCAGCACUGACGCUCAUGCACGAAAGCGUGGGGAGCAAACAGG